AGAAGAACACAUACCCUCUCUUCACUGCUGCCUCGCCUGCCAACACUAUCAGCAGCCUCCUGGUUUCUUCAUCUGCUUGCCUAUAAUUCUUGGAGGAGAGGUGUUGUUGGAGCACAUCAUAGGAAAUGGCUUGGGAGGUUGAGGGUGUUGUGGAGGAGGUGGUGGAAGAAAGAGCAAAAGGGGUUGUUGUUGUGGCUGUUGGUGGGGUUGUGAGUGUGUGAGACAGGUUGGUUGUGUUUGUAUUGGUGGUGGGUUUGAGGAAGAGUGAAGAGAAUGUCGAUGGGUGUGACUCAAUGGAGUGGUGGUGGUAGUGCUUGAGGAGGUGGUGGUGGUUGCUGAGGGAUUGGAGUGAGUUGGUUGCCAUUUGUGAGUGGAGAUGGUGGUGAGUUUAGGAGGGCAUUAUUUGAGUGCAAAGGGAGAUGGGGGUUGUUUGGGAGAUAAGAAAUGGGUGAAGAGGGAAAGUGGGGUUCA
rnacentral:lncRNA from 1 species